GUAAUAUUGUGUAACCAGGGACAUAAUUUAUGAAAUGGUGUGCUUCCUGGUGAACCUCUUCAGGAUUGCUUGACUGUGCAAAAUCCAAGUAUACAAUAGUUGUAGAGACACAAGUCACAUGAUCUCUUUAAGGUUCAGAAGAGCCAUAUAGCAAAAACAAUUGAAUAGCGAUAUCAUUACAGACUGUGUAAAGAAAUGGGAAAUUGUCAUACAACUGCUUUGAAGAUUUCUUUAAUUUUUUCCAAACAAAAUUGUGAACAGUAAAAGAAUAUAUAUAUAUAUACAAAAUUCAGCACUGCCGUCGGUGUGGUGGGGGGCUUAAAACACGUUGCCACAGGCCAUCAUCAGCUCUGCUCUGCUCUGACCGGGUGAUGCCAUGCUCCUUCAGUGCUUUGAUCAAAUGCUGAAAAACAGUCAAAUAAUGUGAACAAUUGAAGUUAUGCAGUAUGGGUUAAUUGUUGUUCUUGAGCUUUCCAAAUGAAUAAGAACAACCUCUUAACAAUAUCAUCAAUUUUCAAAGCAAGCUAUAUAGUUUGAUCUACUCACCUCUGGGAGCAUGACGUCAAAAACGAAAUCAAGCAGAUGAAUCACAGAAAGUAAACACCUUUCAAAUGUAACACCCCUGAGAGUAAAAAUACUCAUGAUGGAUGGCAUUUUUA